AUCAUCUGAUCACGUUUAAGGAAAAAAUAAAUAUGAACUUUUUAUCGUGAUUUGAUCUCAACUGUUCGAUUGUGUUUAAAGGGGAAACAAAUUCGAACUGUCCACGCGCGCAAGAUCAAUCCUACCGUCCGAUCGCGGAGCACGCUGAUUGCCUGCGUGGCACCAACGUCAGCAUGCCUUGUCAUGCGUCGUGCUCUAGUGGUUGCUGAUUGGGCAAUCUUACGUAGCAAAUUUUUUUUA
rnacentral:lncRNA from 1 species